ACUACGCUGGCGGCGUGCCUAACACAUGCAAGUCGAACGAUUCAUCUUUUGUAGCAAUAUAGAAGAUGGAGAGUGGCGCACGGGUGAGUAAUACAUAGAUGAUCUGCCUUUCAGACUGGGACAACUCAGGGAAACUUGAGCUAAUACCAGAUAAGACCACAUGAAGGGAUUUACGUGAUCAAAGGGGGAGCAAUCUCCUGCUGGAAGAUGAGUCUAUGUCCUAUCAGCUAGUUGGUGGGGUAACGGCCUACCAAGGCGAAGACGGGUAGCCGGCCCUGAGAGGGUGAACGGCCACACUGGAACUGAGACACGGUCCAGACUCCUACGGGAGGCAGCAGUGAGGAAUUUUCCGCAAUGGGCGCAAGCCUGACGGAGCGACGCCGCGUGAGGGAUGAAGGUUUUCGGAUCGUAAACCUCUUUUAUCAAGGAAAAAGAUUUUAAUGCUCAUACCAUUAAGAUUUGAUUGUACUUAAUGAAUAAGCCCCGGCUAACUACGUGCCAGCCGCCGC
rnacentral:rRNA from 1 species